UACGGAGGAUCCAAGCGUUAUCCGGAAUCAUUGGGUUUAAAGGGUCCGUAGGCGGUUUUGUAAGUCAGUGGUGAAAGCCCAUCGCUCAACGGUGGAACGGCCAUUGAUACUGCAAGACUUGAAUUAUUAGGAAGUAACUAGAAUAUGUAGUGUAGCGGUGAAAUGCUUAGAUAUUACAUGGAAUACCAAUUGCGAAGGCAGGUUACUACUAAUGGAUUGACGCUGAUGGACGAAAGCGUGGGGAGCGAACAGG
rnacentral:rRNA from 1 species